UGUAGCUACUGAUCCUAUACUACAGCAGAAAGAGUGAGAGUGAAAGGGAGGAGGGACAUCAGGUGUCACAGCUCUGCAACCCCAGUUGAGGCUGCAUUACCACGACAACCAGCUCCAGGGGUGCCGCCAGGUGAGUCUGAGGACACGCACGUACACUCACACAGAUGCUCUUUGACAUAUGCCGCACAUGUGCACAAUGAAGUGCAUCCACAUUGUUUUCACAUAGGGAUGAGUCAAAUAAAAUAGAUGUACAUAUACAGGUGUGCGGCUGCUGAUGCGCUCCACGAUGUUGGUAUUGUCACUUUUCGCAGCCAAUGUUUCAACUCUGCACUCAAGUGUAACAGUGUAUUGUGUAAGCGUGUGCGUUGUUGCUGUCAGUGUGUGUGUGCGUACAUUUGUAGUCAUGCCAAAGUGUACAGUAUAUGUGUGUGUGUGUGUGUACAUACGCCAUACCUCCCCCAGUGGUGGUGAGAGACAAAGGGUCCCCUCUGUCUGGCGCUGUAGCACCGCUUACACGGCUGAUGAUGAUGGGUGGGAAAGUUCUCUCGAUCAGCGAUCAUGUCUGAUCGGAAAAAGAGAAGAAGUCAAAUAGGGUGCUCCAACCCCCCGACCCACCACCACCCUCCCCCCCAUUGCUGUCGAACACUCCUGACUCACGAUGAUAGGAGGACAUGGUCACAGCAGAUGAUCACCCGGUGGGUGGGGGUUGGGGUUGUGGUAGGGGUGGUGGUGUGUUCUGAGGACACGGAGGCGGUGAGGAGGGGAAGGGGGAUGGUGGAGGUGAUGGUCAUGACACUACUGUAGUAUGUGAUGGACGUAUUAUAGAGACACAUGUGUCUAAGGAGGGGUCAUCUACCAUGCACAUGACUGCCCGUGUGAGUGCGUGUGUGUGUGUGUGUGUGUGUGUGUAAGAGAAAGAGAGAUUGUUCGUUCUUGUGAAUGGAAAAGUGUGGGAGCAGGAGCGUAAUGUGCCAAACGGCAAGCCAUCACUGACCGAUAAACUCAGACAAAGGGCGGCGGAUCAUAUGUGCAGACUCAUGUCAUACUCUCGGUAAGUGUGUGUGCGUGUAUGUGUGAGACUUGGGAGAUGGGGGAGGGCUCUGAUGUGAAAUGGUCACGUAUAAGCUGGGCAUCUCUGUCAGCAUGUGUGCGUACAGUGUGUCUGAUCAUGUCUGAGCUUGUCCUGUAAAAAGGUGGCAUUUUUCCUCCAGAAGAUCACGUGCGCAUUGCGCUGCCCUGUUCUCAGUCCUCUCUACCUCUCGGUGCCUGAUGCCCCGACUGUCCCGUUUGGAAGCUGGUCAUCAUCCCACCCCGACUCUACGCCGUCAUACAACGCCACCAGAGCAUGUUCUCUGAGGGAUGUAGACUGUUUCAACCUUGUCAAUUCAGAGCUAGAUUGUCGUCCUCUCUAAACUACUAGCCAUAGAUGCGCUCUUAUCCUUACGUGGCCUUUGUUCAACGUUGCCUAUGCGAUUGCAGGUCUUUGUGCCAAGGCUGCAGUCGUGUGUAGUUUGUCAAGAUGUAGUCCGGUGUUUUAAGGACAGGUCAAAUCUUCACAAAUGCUGAAUCAGAUGGAUAAACUCAUAAAUGACAGUAUACCAUUCAAAGAACGCAGUUUUUGGCUUUCAGAAUGUCCCAUUAUCUCUUAUGCAAGAAUUGACAAUUCCAUCUCUUCCUGAUCAAUUUUAGUUAGUGCCGUGAGGGUGAGACAAAUUAGGUUAGAGAGGGUUUUCAUGGUUGGAGAGCUGACCUUCUACUCUGGGCAUGCAGGUGCAAAGGUCAUACAUUCACUUGCAAUGACACCAGACCGUUCUUUAUGCUGUAACUUGGAAAAACAUAAUUUCUCAAGCAGAAAUGUCCCCCGUCGUUUAACAGAAGUUACAUUAUGAGAUAGCGUGGUGCGUGACAGGUGUGGGCUGUGUUCCUGCUCUGUUCUUUGAGUAUUGUAUACAUCAACGAGAGCGGCAAAAACCACAUUUUAAGCCCACAGCUUCCUUCAAAACGAAAUUAACAGUAACCAAACUGCAGAGUCUGCGUGUAAAAAUGGUGGCGACGAGAACAGGCUGUACAUUUCUCUUUCAGUGCCCUUCUCUUCUUCCUCUCUCUCUCCAUUUCAUCUCGCUGCCUCCCUCCUCUUCCAUUUUAUUCCAUUUCUCACCCUUCCCAUUUCCUCUCUUUUCUCUGAGUUCACAUGCACACACUCAUCCCCCUCCUCCAUAUGUGAGCUCUGACAGUCUGUAGGGCGUGCCCCCCCCCACCAUCCGCUACAUACAUUACAACGAGCCAUGCAGCAUACGUACAUUUACGCCAAGUACAGUCCACACAUGGCUGCACAAUCAGCGACACGCUGGCCGUCAUAUAUGUCCUGGUUUGCACCGUGGGGCCUCUCAAUUGGAAAAGGACAUCGGAGACACAGAGUCAAGAUCCUUUUUCUAGAUUUUGUCCACUGUGUUCGGUGAGUGUAGUGGCACAGUGACUGGAGUAGUACUUAGUUUCAUGUAUGAUGUUGUAACAGGAAAUGUUUGCCAAAGCUACAAUUACACUAAUUGAACACUCCGAAGCAGCCUUGCAAAAUGGCUGCCGAGCCGGCACCCAGUCUGUGAUGGCCGACAAGAAUGAGUAGGUAGGUCUGAGGUGUGUGCGUGGAUAUAGCUGCGCAUGUUUAUACGCAAGUCUUAGAUUGUACGCCUGCUCGUAUACGUGUGUGCUUUUUGUGUUUUUGUGCUAACAUAAUGUGAGAGUAAUCUUUUUACUGACAGCUUUGUGUCAUGGGAAGUCAUCGCUCACCAGAGAUCUGCUAAUCCAUAAUUGCUCAGCUUAAUAUACUUAAACUAUAGGAGCCAUUAAGCCAAACCACCUUCUGUUAAUGCUCAUGUUUGUGUUAACCGGUAAAAGGUGCUAUGAGUAGGCUUUCUGGAUUAGACAGCGAUGGUACCGGGAGUCGCUAGUCUUCCUGUAGUUUCUUGUCCACCAUCUUCAAAAUGUCGGCAUUUUCAAAGACCAGCAUUAAGGCGCUGAAUGUGUUCUGCUAAAGAGCUGACCUUGUUGUUUCUUUACAGCUCUCUGCCUCGCAAGCCCAGCACCGAGCCAGCUAUCCAGCUAUCCUCUCAUCCAUCCAUCCAUCCAUCCAGCCAGCCCGCCCGCCAGCCAGCCAGGCCGGCCCUUCCCUGCCCAGAACUGGCAACCCGCAGGAGUCAUCAGGGUUAGUGCGCCUUUGGCAGGCCUCUGUGCCAAAACCAUCUGUAAGCAUCAGGCACAAAGUGGUAAAUUUAUGGAUCUGCACUUAAUCCGAAGGCCAGACAAUCAAAAAUAUACAUUAAAAGAAGAGAAUGGGCUGAACUUGAGCCUUUCAUAAGACACUCGAAUGGCUGCAGAUUUAUAACCUCAGUGGAGAUUGAAGUGGUGACCAUUUUUUUUUGUGUGUUUUACCGUCAUAUUUUAUAAGUAUCUUUGGCUCAAGAAGAACACUGACACCUAAGGUCCUUAAUUCAUGUCUAACAAACCACGUCACUAAUGACACAAGUCAAAUAUAAUAUCUGUAGGUAAGAGCAGCUAAAGAGGUGUGUACCCUCUUACCUUCUUAAAGUCCAAUACUUCGGUACAGAGAUAAGCAGCAUACUCUCAUUUACAUACCCUCUAUUUCUUCAUUUGGUUUUAGGAUACACACACACACACACACACACACACACACACACACACACACACUGCAGAUUAUAAGCAACACUGGAUUAAGUUAAAGCUGCGCUGUUUUGCUAAUAAUUCAAAUACUGCAAGUGCUAGCAUUUUCUGCAGUUCAUCAGGGAGACGCUGUAAAAAGACAAAGCUGAACUAAAUGACUACCAGCGCUCAGGCCUUAUCGCAACUGUGUGGGUGUGUGGCUCGGGUGCUCAUGUAAGAGAGAGAGAGAAAGAGAGAGAGAAGUGUAUGUGAAUGUGCGUGCACCGAGACGUAAAUGUGACAGCCGAGGGUCUGGCUUACACACUGAAAUCUCUGCUGAGGCUUCUAAUGCAUUUGUCGAGCGGGGAUGUGAUUUCAGUAUUCAGUCGUACAGUAGAGAUACAGCAGAGCAAAAAAGCAGACAUACAUUUACAUUUAACACAUUUACAUUAUGUGACUGUUGAUGGAAAUAUAAAGGUGCGUGAACCUGAGAUACAGUACCUCUGCUUUUUUGUAUUAAUUACAGUGAAUAGAGCUUCUCUCUCCCUCCCUCUUUCUCUCUCUCUGUCGCUUUCUCUCAUUUCUCUGACACUCUGUCAAUAAUUUCUGUAUGGAAGUGAUGAAAAUAAUGUCCUUUAAUGCAGAUACUAGAACAAGAAGCAAGGAUAAAAGCAGGUAUUUCCCCCCUGAAAAUACAAUCACAGCAAAGAGUCGAAACUAACCAACUCACGAAAUACAAUUUGAAAAGACAGCAGAGAAUUCUUCAAGUAUUUUUUUUUAAUUUUUAGUUCUGAAAUAAUUAGAGUUUUCAAAACAGAGACCAGAUUAUUGUAUCUUUAUGAGAGAAAUGUGCACCUUUCAGAACAGUAUGGUUGUUAUUCGAUCUGUUAAUUAUGAGGUACUAAAACGCUUCAGAAAGCAGAAACCCGUGCUAAAGAGCUCCACUGCUAUGCCAGCAACAAUUUCAAAAUGUGCCCAUAAAAGAGAUGGAGUUAGAAAGGCCAGGUUGAAGACAUAAUCUUGUUUUGGUAACCUAUUUAAUUUGAAAGAUAUUGAUGUUCACCUUUGAGUAAAGGGAACAUGAGGACACAGCAGUCAGUGUGUGUGUGUGUGUGUGUGUGUGUGUGUGUGUUUCCCUCCGUGUAUGUUUUUUUGUGUGAGAGUGUGUACCAGUGUUCGGCAAAAGGCCUUUUAGAGUGGAGUAAGAAGGAAAUGGAUGCUUGGCACAUGCUCAGGCAGCAUCCUUAUCGCUGCUGCUCUCAGAGCUGACCACCACGGCUUCUUAAUAAUGGACACAAAACACAGAGUCAUUUCUAUUUAUGCGCUCACUAACACAUCUCACUCGACUGUGUGUUGCUACAGAUAACAUUAAGCACGAAAUGAUGUAUCAUUAUCCCCGAUGCUGCGCAUGUCGAUUGUACGUCAAUUAUUUUAUUUAAAGGAAAGGGGUUUCAUAAAGAAAACUGAAGAAGUUUGGAUUGCAGGUUUCUGUCUGGCUGGAGCAAACUAAUAUGGAAUAAAGGGUGUCAAACACAAUUUUGUCUGACAGGAGUGGAAGUCUGCUGUUUAAUAGUGUGGGUCUAAAAGGCAGAGAUGGGGAGGAUGUUCUCCACAGCAAAGCUUUCUGCCUCCCUGGCUUUCAUCCCAAGUGCCGACAACAGACGUCGUCAUUUUCCAACUCAAUUUACAGACGCAUUAGGAGAUGCUGAGGCGCGCCCAACUCUCUCAAAUGCAAUCAGUCUGCCUGUGUGUUUUAAGAGGAAAUUGAGGGUGCAAUCUUUAUUGACUUCUUUUUGACUUCUCCUCUUUUGUAGACUCAUUUCCCCCCACUAAAAUAAUUUCAACACAUAAACAGCUGCAUAUGGAUUUCUUCGUGACCACGCUUUACCGAUCCAUUUCCCCUUUUGACAACGUGAAAAAAGGCAAAAUGGAUGUUUAAGACGACUGUAAACUCAUCUCAUACAGAUUUAGAUUUAGUCAGAUUUGCUGAGGUAAGUGACGAAUAUAAAUACCAAGUUAAUCACUCUUAAAUCUCCACCAUUUUUACGUCCUUGUCCUCCUAAUAUGAGUCCAUAAAAAGUCAUUUUGAAAGUGUUUUCAUGACAUGAUUUAGAAUUAAUUAAUGAGAUAAUUUACCAAUAAAAAUGGUAAUAAUUUAAUGAUUUAAAUUAAUGUCACUUUUUUCUCUAGUACCUACAGAGGUGGCACUAAAGCUUGCCAAAUGUCAUGUUGAACGUAUUUUCACGUGAAGACUUUGCUGAUACAAUCUGAGUCCACGGAUCUGAUGCGAUGCUUCCCAUCUGCAUUUAAUGACAUCUGAUAUGUCUUUUUUUGCACUCAGAAAUUACCCAAUUUUUCAGGGUUUUGUUAAAUAUUUUAGUUGUUAAAUUGAUCUUCAGUUGACUUUACAAUAGCAUUAAAAAAAAGCUCUUUGAUUCCAGCUUAGUGAAACCUGCUGACACCCUAAAAGUCAGCUUCCCCCUCUCUCUCCAUGUAAUUGAUUUUACACCUUUGAGCCCCACAACAGCUUUCUGAGUGCACUUAGGGGAGAGAUUCAGGAAAAAGUCAGCUUGAGAGGAUCAUCCAUGUAGAUUUCAUCUCUCACACCCCUGCUGCCCACAGUCCUGGACUGCUAAUGUCCUGUCUGACCCACAGCUAAACAUCUGUCUUACUGGGGGCUUGUAUUAAAAAUGAAAAGAAAGAGGGAGGAUACAGGACAAAAGAGAGAGGCUGCGAAUGACAGAAAUGAGAGGAGGCGAUGUGGGGAAACAGGAAGAGCUAUGAAAGGAAUAAAAAAGAGAUGGUAUCUUUAAUUGUACAGUCCCAUCUUUCAAUUUCUUCAGUCUCUCAAAAUAUCACAAAACAUUCAUCGUCUUUUUCACCCUUCAUUUUCUCUCUGUAUCACCUCAUGUCUUGUACCAGCUGUUCACUCAUCUGUUUUACUUUUGAUCUCUUCUUUUCCUCCAUCUGAUUUUUCAAUCAAAUUCCUUCUUCCCUGCUUCACUUUUUUUGGCUUCCUCCCCUCCUCAUAUCUUUCCACUAUUUCUCGUUUUUUAGUUAGUGCUUUUUCCGAAUCACCCGCUUUGACCACAACGAACCGAUCACUCCCACAAAUGCGUAGCUUAGAUAUUGAUUAUCCCUCACGCGGUGGACGGUUAGACUGACAAAAUAUUAUUCUUAUGUGCCGUUAAGUGCGUGAAUCUCGCUAGCAAAUCUCCUUUCUGCUGUGCGGCAGUGUGGAUCUAUAGCAUUCAGGUGGUGGAGGUCUCUCGAAGCAUGUGGAUGGUAUCUUGAAACGAGGGGCUGGCUGCCAUAGCAACCAUAUGAUGAGGCUGGCAGGGCUAUUUAAAGGAAUUCAGCUGCUGCUCGCGUUCCCGUCAGCUUCACACGGGUCCAGUGAGAGACAAAGAAAAAGAUAUGAAUGCAAGAAAAUGCACGUCCCUGUAGCUCCACGCAAAAAUAUCAUGUCUGGAUUUAAAGCAGGGAGGAAGAAAAGAGUCAAAUGUACCAAAACUUAUAACAAUUAAAAUGAGUAUCUAAUUAUUGUACUAUUGGAACUGUGCUCAUACAUUUAAUUUCAUAUGCACUGUUGGGGGGUUUUAACAUCUUUUACUUUCCUUAACACCCUCUUUAGAAUCUGCUACGAUAAUUAGCUCAUCUCAUACCUCAGGAUCUUAUUCUGGUGCGAACACAUCAUGCUUAUUUUCAAUCCUUUCUUCGAAGUAUACAUGCAUAUCACAUUUGCGUGGAUGCAUACUGGUAAGUACAAUAUGAAAACAAAAUUCUUUGAUGUAGCCAAUCUCUUUUGUGAUGCAAAUCUUUGAAAUAAAUGCAAAGGUGAACACUAAAAUGUUAAGUUUAAUAUACAACAAACAAUUCUCUCUCUUCCACAGAGGUUUCUCUCAGUGGUCAGUAACACAUGAGGGGACAGGUGUAAGAGGAACGUCUGUGCACCUAGAAGAGCGAUCAAAGAAGGGCAGGGUUUACUAAACACAUAUUUGAUAGAUUCGUCUGUCUGUGAUUGAGUUUGGUUUGAGAAGAUUUACACCUGAAAGAAAAUGACAUUUAUUUCCCAUCUUCUAAUAAGAGUAUUAUGGUAUUUUAAGUUAACCUCCCAUGUGUCUCUGUCGACAUUGAACUAAUAAUAGGCAGUGCUUCCUGUCUAUUCUGCAGCUUUUAGUAGACAUCUGAGCCUCUUUCUACCUCUCUGUCUCUGCUUUUCACUUAAUAACCACUAACAAAAGAGCUGGAACAUCGAGUGCAGAUUAUAAAAGGUUUGUUUUCUCCAGUCAGCAAAUUAACAAUAGAUCAAAUAUUUACAUGGUGCUUUUUAUAGAAAUUGUUUCUACGAUUCCUGUUAAAUUUUAAAGAGAGGGUAUUCAAUUUCCAUCAAUACUCUGACAAGCGUAGAAUAUGUUAGCGAGGCUGUCCAAGUAGUGAGGGAGGCAAAUACUGUCCGAAGACAACACAAAUUUAUUGGGAGCUAUUUGUCCAUAACACUGAGUGGAAGAGUUUUAAGCAACCUUUUGUUAUAGUUUCAUCAUCUGAGUCAAAAUGACCAAGCAUUGGUUCUGUCUGAGAGGGUGGUUUUGUCCUCUUUGUUUGAUCAGUUUUUAAAAUAUUUUAAAAUAUACUUAAAAUACAUAAUGGCCUCUUUAUGUAUGAAACUUUAAAUAAUCAUGUUUUAAAAAUGAGCAUCAUCUAAAUUCCCAAAAUGAGACAUACUGGCUGACAGGUGAUUCUUCAGCGCCUAUAAAUGGAUGCCCUGGAUUUUCUACUCUUUUAUCAUGCUGAUAAUCUACAACAUUUUUAUAUGAAGUGCACGGUUUUUGGUUAAACUACAGGUGCUCUUUUAUCACUCAGCUUGCCCAGUAGGCUGUUCCAUAGCCAGUGAGAGCAGUCAAAAAGAUUUAAAGUGCUUCAUAGAAGCAAAAUUAUGAGUGACCUCUCUGGUAACACUCCCUCUGCUCUUCACUCUGCUCUUUAUCUCAUUCUAAUCCUAACUCAUUUCAUAUGCUAAGUAAAAGCUUAUAUCCCUCUUCACUGUACAUACACACACAUCCCUCAUCCUCUGCUGUGAUUAUAAAAUUAGCAUAGAGGAUGUUGUUGGAGCUGUAGAGAGCUGAAGCAGGGGGGUUGUGGGUGGUCUAAAGCCUGUCAGGUGUAUAGAGGUGGGGCAGAGAUUCCCAGAAUCCCUCCUAUCUGGAUUAUGAAGAGAGCUCAACAAGAGAAACCCAGAGAAAGUUCCCCCAUGCCACUCUCCUCUGUUUAAUGGUUUCCGCUGAAUCUAAUUUGCCUGUUCUCUUUUCACAGCUGCCACAGAUGUAGUGAAGAUUAGGAAAGAGGAUGAGGGAGAGCUGACUCUCACCCCCAAGAGGUUGCAGUGAGAUGGAACCAGUUAUCUGCCCUCUGAUGAAAAACCACCUCCACCAUCAUAGCGCCAUCUGCUGGCUCGGUAGGGCAAGACAGCUGGUGUUGUGAAUCAGGC
rnacentral:lncRNA from 1 species